CCAAGGUAAGUGAUAGGUAACUGUGUUUGCUUGCAGUCUAAAACCACACUGAAAUCUUCAUUUCUGGAGCUGUUUUCCUAUAAAACCAUCUCAGAUUUUUGGAGAUUUAUAUUUAAACUGAAGACAACAGUAAUCCCUUUAAUCAAGUUCAAUGAUUUUUCUUUCUCAAUAAGUUGAUUCAGUGCCGCCGUCACAAUAAUGAAUAAGAUUGGAGAAAGGGGAUCCUUUUGCCGGAGGCCUCUAGAGGCA
rnacentral:lncRNA from 1 species